GGAUGUGUUGUCCCGGGACAAAAAGAUUCUCCCUAAUUCUCUUUCUGUGUGUCCCUAUUGCUGCUAAACCCCAGCAGACAGACUAAUUCAGCAUGUGUUAUCAAUGAUCUAUCCUAAUUAUCGUUUACCUCCCCACAGGUUAAUUAAGGUGCUGAGUAAUGUGGUUUUCACUUUUGCCACAUAGCAGGGUCACAGCAGCUUUGUCUGUAAUCAGAUUUACCCGUCUGUGACUAUUUUCAAAAGAAGUCCCUGGAGUGAUUCAAGAAGUCACUUGAAAUGAUUCCAUGAAGAGAGAAUGGGAUAACUAUAAUAUUUACUUCUUCCUGUUUGCCAGGCCAAAAGGAGCUGGAAAGGAAAGGAGGAAUGCAAGCAGGUAUUCAGGAGUGCUGCUCCUCAUGUCAGGACAUUUUCUGCCACCAGCCCACCAGGACAGCUGGUGACAUUUCACUGGGGAUGUUCCAGAGCCUUCUGGCCACAAUCCUGUGCUCUGGGAUGACCUUGCUGGAGCAGGGACCAUGGACCCACUGUGGCCCAUUCUGGGAUUCUGUGAAACCAAGGCCAGCCAAGGACUGGAGGAGAGUUCCCAUGCCCUUGAAAUUCCCUCAUCCUAGUCCAGGCUUGGGGGAUUGCUGGGCUGGAACAGAAUAGGCUGCUCAACCCUUGUCGUGAGAGGACUCAGCGCCUUGGAAUUACAGCUGGGAAAUGCCUUUGGAAAAACAGAGGAUGUGCUGGAGGAAGAUAGUGUUGUCUCUCUGGCCUGGCAGGUUUGCAUAGGUCACAGCUGGAAUUAGCCAUGAGGCAUUUAACACUGCAGUGGAAGAGAAGGAUGAAACACCAGGAAGAGGAAUUGCUUGAAAACUGGUAAAGAAGUGCAUCUUUGCAGCCCAUGCAUGGCUUCUACCCCAGUUCAUCCAGAGGAGAGCCUGAUUUCUCUGCCAGCAGAGUUUUGACCCCAUCUGGGUGAAACUGGAUGGAAUGGCAAGGACUGGGCAGCCCGAUUGCAACAGGAGGGCGGGGGUUGGAAUAUCUGUGGAAUGCCCAAGCAGGAAUCUGGUGCACUGGAGUCUGGCUUGAAGUGCAGACUGCACGCCCUGCCUGUCCUGGAGAAAUCCUGCUGUCCCCUGUAAGGAACUGGAAGGAGUUUCCCAGUGCUUCA